GCCACUUGGCUUCAGCACCGGGCCUCUCUGCAUCGGAAACUGGAGCGGCAUGACUUUUGUUAGAACUCCUCUUCUUCUUCUCCUCCUCCUCUCCCCCCUUUCUCUCCCUCUACCUCCCCCUCUCUCUCCCUCUCUCUCUCGCUCUCACUCUGCAGUCUGCCGCGAGGCUGUCCGUCUUUCACUGCGGAUACCGCGAGGGGAGGCCGAGGAAGACACCGAGAGGAGGAAGAGGAGAACCGGAUGGUCGUGAGGACGGGAAGUCACGUGCCAAAGAAAUAAGUCUGAUUUGCACCUGAGAAGCUCUCCGGCUCCACGCUGGGCCUGAAAUGGGACCCUAGUCACUGUGGCCCCUUGGAGUUUGCGUAGAGUUUAUUCCUCACGGGCCGGGAGGGACAGAUGGGACUGGAGGUGGGACUACAGGGAAAGGAGAGUGAGCAGUCACGCCGCAUGACGACGCACUGCACGCCUGUAUAGAACAAACAGGCAAAGAAAUCCGUACCAGACCGGGAUGUGUGUAGCAAAUCACACGCUACAUGACAUGCAUCUGACGGGGAACAAGAGGAAUUUGUUACGCUCUAACACUUGAGAAAAGAUGGGAAGGAGAUGGAAGGAGGAGGAAAGAACACAAAUCUGAGAGAGGGAAUUGCCUAUUUUUUCAUCACAGAUUAUUUUAGGGGGUGAAUGCCAUUCCUGAGUUGACUAAAAACGAGCCAAACAAAAUAUGGAAUAUUCUGAAUUUACGAACUGCAUUGUGGUAGGAAAAAAAAAGCAGAAACAUGUGUGUCGCCCCCCCCCAUCACCCAGUCGCUGUUUGUUCCUUAAUGCAGCAGCUGGUAUUAGUCUCUCAAAAGGCCCGGCUGUGUCUGCCAUCCUACUUGCCUCACAUAUUCUUUUCUACGGCUUAUCAGUCGGAAAGCCAGGGGAGCUGUCCAGUCUCAUUCUCUCACUGGAGAGCACAUGUCAGGACCUAUUUGCCACUGGUUACUUUGAGAGUGACAUCAGCGAUGACCCCUUGACCCCGGCUGACGGAGAAAUGCUUCUGCAAUAGUUUUCCAUUACAGAGGCGAGAGAGCGCGGACACCAGACGGAUAUGUGAAAUGAGAAAAUAGGAAAACUGGAAAAGGCAUUUAGACCUGUAUUUGACCUAUCAUGUUUCGGCUUUCUGCGGCAGGCUUUUAUGAAAUGAGUAUUUGACCCAUUAACAAAUCCUUUGUCGUUUCUCUCGGAUGUUUUCCACGACCGCCAUGCGACGGCUAUUACAGAGGACAAAGCAGGGGUCAUCACAACGACACACAUAGCAGCGAUUCACUCGGCUUUCUCUUUUUUUUAGUGUCUUGAUGACGUGUAUCUGCUUGUCAGUCUGGCUAUGUGAGGAUCAGCCUCAGACGUAUCUGUAGAGUCUCGUAUUAAGGGACAAAUUGUUGCGACUGAGCUUUCGACAUGCCUCUCAACAGGUUGGAGACCAGCGUUUUUAUAUAGAUCUGAGCUGAGCUGAGUGGACGGCGAUGUUUGUUCAUCCAGGGGCACGCUGCUGCAGAUUGCCAUUGCAGCUUUUCAGUGCAACAAUGACUGUCGUCACACCAGCCGAAUCCCUUAUAGAUUUCAUUAUCUGAAAUAGAAGCAGUGAGGAUGAAAAGCACCUGUGAACAGAAUGUAACAGAAGCGUGAUAUCUCAGUAUUGAUCAUAUAUUAGCCUUUUUUAUUAUAAAUACAGCCAAAUAAUGUUGUUUUAAUAUUCGCUACAUUAAACUUGUCCUUCUAUUAAAACACCAGUUUGCCAUUUUUCUAAACGCAUUCAUCCGCUGUCUUCCAGAGAGUGAAAUGAUUACUAUCAGAUUAACAUCACUCUUGUGUCCGUACACAACAGCCCUAUUCUAAGUUUAGCAUUAUUAUUGGUUAAUGUUGAAAAAUCCGAUAUCGUGAAUCAAUGGUUCUGUUUUCUCUUUAUUUUUGGAUAAAAACGCUAUAGAAAAAUGACCUUACAGUUGUUUACUUGCUGGAAUGUACCUUUUAGGAACCUUUUAUUUUAGCUUAUUCCAUUUGUGGUGAAGACAUGUCACAUGUCACUAAUCAAUACGAAAUGUAUAAUCCCUGUAGGAGUUUGUGCUGCAUUUUCUUGUGUCAGAGUAACUGCCACCAAAGAGAACAACAUUCCCUCUGGUUGUGCUGACUAUGCAAAGCACAGAUUAUACGACACAUCAGCUCAACCAUCAGAUCCCUGGUUUUGACACAGCAAUAUAGUCUCUGACACUUGUAAAUCUAUUAUAUAAAUCGUAUUAAUAGCAUCUGUGCCGCCCCAUCAAAGUGUGAUUGACAAAUUACCCGCUGUAAACCGUGCAGGAUGAAGGAAACUGCGCGGGAAGAUGUCCAUUUAGAGCACUGAUUUAUGUAAUAUGACAGGGAUGCGUUGAUGGGGGCACUGCUGCCUUAUCACCCAUUAUGCUUCCCCACAGCUCAUAAAGACAUAUGUCAGCACGCGAAAGCUUCGCAGGUCAGUGUGAAGAGACGGGAAGCGUUCCAGCUAGUCCACUGCUGGCCUUUGCCUUCGUGAUAAAUUGCAUUUAUGAAAGCUGCAAUUACCUGAUUACCGCUCUGGCUCCCACUCACUAGCAGGACUCAUCACGGCCCUGUAAUUUCAUUCAAAUUCCCCAUGAACCUUCAUCCGCAGUGUCAACACAACUG
ensembl:lncRNA